rnacentral:guide_RNA from 1 species
AAAUCAUCAAGAGUACUUAAUAGAGCUGUGAAAGUUAAUUU